GCUCUUGUAGUUCAAUGGAUAGAACAAGCCUCUCCUAAGGGCUAAAUCCAGGUUCGAUUCCUGGUGAGAGCACAA
rnacentral:tRNA from 1 species